CAAUGAAGAAAGCAUUUAUAUUUGAUGGGUUUGAUGUGAAUGAUUCAAUCGUCUCUCACCUCUUUGACGUAUAAGCAAUCACUGAAGCAAAGAAGCAAAGAUAACUUUCAGGAGAGCUUGGGUACGAAAUCCAAAUACGAGAAGCGGUCGUUCGCCCAAAU